UACAGGAAAUAAGGAAAUAAACAACACAGGCACAAAAUAGACAGGAUGUCUCGAAACAGCAGCACCCAUGCCAUGAAAGUAAACUUCCUCUCAGCUGGUCUCCUUUAUGCAGUGCUGACAUUACUUUGCCAUGUAAACACACACUACAAUUACCACAGGGAAGGUGAGGAAGGAAAGGUUUGAAGGGGUCCACAGUCUUAAAAAGGGCGAGACCCACACUGUAUGCCAUCCCUGAAACACCACCAUAAUCAUCAAAGUUGUUUGUCGUAUGCCAACAGCUUUACAAACAUUAACCAAGCCCCAUACAAAGCACCUCAUUAUGGUGAAGCUAAGGUUCAGUUGGGGGUGCUUAUUAACCUACCAGAAUGUUAGUGCCUUUUAAGACAACGAAACUUUAGAAAUCCAGGAAAUGCAGCAUUAAAGUUUGCAUUUGUUAGAUAAGGCACUGACACACUCAGAUAACAACUGCAACCUCAAGUCUGCCCCACUAGAGUUCCAAGCAUACAGUCUGGACUGGGACUCUCUUCUCAGCUCUGCCACUGGCUGGCUGGGUGAUCUUGGCUUCCCUCACAGCACUUCUAAUUAAAGGCCAGCCUUAGCCACAGGUUUUAGCAGUCCCAAAUGCAGGCUGUGUGUGCUGGAUUGGACACAGCUCUCCGUGUCCAGCAAAAGGUACCAGACCCAUGUUCAAAAACUGGGAUACUCCUGCUAUUUUCAAGAGUUGGAGCUGAGACAUGCAGGAGGAAAUGUAGGAGAGACACAUGCAGAUAUAGGAUGAAGAGAGGAGUAACGAGCCAGAGGUAACUGGUAAUUAAGCUUCCUGAUCCCACUUCAUUUCUGACGUCUGGUCUCGUGAUUAUGAAAGUACAGAGAAGGGUUAUCGCAUCACCUACCAAUCCCCAGAGAGUAUAUCCCCAAGCUUAUUUGGUUCAGCAUGCAUGAGAGAACUCUUUUUCGUUCUGACGUGCUGCUCAAAUGGACCAGCUCCAAGACUCCCACUGCAGAACAACUCUUUCUUUUCACAGAGUUGGCUCUUUUUGACCAGAUCUGUAGCUCUUCCUCUUCAGCUCACCUCUCCUCUUUCCUGCGUCCUCACCCUAUGCUAAUGUCUUCAUCUUCCCCUCUCUCCCUCCUGGCCAGCAAACUGUUUCUCCUCUGUGCAUGGCCAACAUGCAGCUGCAGGUCUUCCCAUAGCCUGGCUGGAACAGCUGCAGCUGCUAAAUAUGUGCUUGCUGGUCAUCUGUGCCUUAGGCUCUCUCUGCAUAACUGGCUUCCUUCACUGCUUCGGCUCUGUCGCUGCCCUCUUGCAUGUCUCUCCAAAAUGCAUGCAUCCGAUGAAGUGAGCUGUAGUUCAUGAAAGCUUAUGCUCAAAUAAAUUUCUAAGUGUCUAAGGUG